rnacentral:rRNA from 1 species
AUGAGAUAUCGGCGGCCUCCCUCGAGGAGGACCGCCGGAAGCAAUGACUAUAUUAUCCUGGAACUGCUGGGGGGGGGGGGCCGCCGGACAGUUCGUGAGGUGUCGGCCCUCUCAAAAGCCAAUAACCCCAAGCUUGUCUUUCUUUGCAAAACGAGGCAAGCUUCAGAUAAAGUUCAGAGACUCAAGUGGAGACUUGGGCUGAAAGGUUUUCAUGGCGUUGAUAGUGACAGAAGGGGAGGAGGUCUAGCUCUCUUCUGGGACGAAUCGUUGACAGUAACAAUCCUGGAAUCUUGCAAGCGCUUCAUAGAUGUCUGA